CAAGGAAUUUUGGGCAAUGGACGAAAGUCUGACCCAGCGACACCGCGUGAGGGAAUAAGGCCUUCGGGUUGUAAACCUCUUUUCUUGGGGAAGAAUCUCGACGGUACCCAAGGAAUAAGCCUCGGCCAACUACGUGCCAGCAGCCGCGGUAAUACGUAGGAGGCGAACGUUAUUCGGAUUUACUGGGCGUAAAGGGAGCGUAGGCGGUUCCUUAAGUCGGAUGUGAAAUCUUCUGACUCAAUCGGAAGGCGCCAUUUGAUACUGAGGGACUUGAGAGCAGCAGAGGGAAAUGGAAUCUCCAGUGUAGCGGUGAAAUGCGUAGAUAUUGGAGAGAACACCAGUGGCAAGGGCGGUUUCCCAGGCUGCUUCUGACGCUGAGGCUCGAAAGCGUGGGGAGCGAAGCGGAUUAGAUACCCGCGUAGUCCACGCCCUAAACGGUGGACACUAGAUAUGGGAGGUAUCGACCCUUUCUGUGUCGAAGCUAACGCUUUAAGUGUCCCGCCUGGGGAGUACGGCCGCAAGGCUG
rnacentral:rRNA from 1 species